rnacentral:lncRNA from 1 species
CCCUUCCCUUUCAUGAAUGUGACCUACCGAAUUAGACUAUUUACCGGAUUUGUAAUCACAUAAGCAACACGACGGGUGCCACAUGUGGAGCAGGAUCUGCUUACCCUUCCGGAGCACCUGAGAUCACCCCUAGUUUUUGGUGGGGUUCGUGUUGUUUAUUCUUCAGUUUUCUAUGUUGUGUCAUGUGUACUAUUGUUUUUCUGUUUGUCUUUUUCAUUUUUAGCCAUGGCGUUGUCAGUUUGUUUUAGAUUUAUGAGUUUGACUGUCCCUUUGGUAUCUUUCGUCCCUCUUUUAUGCCAUUAAUUUAAAAAAAA